rnacentral:siRNA from 1 species
CGAUACGCUUGUUAAACAAAUGCU